UGCGGGCUUCAGGAAGGGAAGUUGAAGGAACACAGAUCAGUCCUUAACACACCAGGUCCUCACUGUCUCAUUGUCCAGGCCUCGCAAUCUAUUGAAAGGGAGCGGAAACAAAGAUUUUAGAAUAAUGGAUCAAUGGUGAGCAAAUGUAACCUUCAGUCAACUGAAAAUUAUGUCAAUCAGUCCUUGUGGGUUCCUUUGAAGACCUGACCUGGAGUUACAUGCUGACUACAGUUCUUUGCGGGAAUGGGACCCACUGUUGGGGUUUCACAACUGGCUAUUGUUCAGCACACCAAGGGCUCGGCCGAAGAGUUCGGCUCGCCUUUGGAGGCCUAG